AUGACCUGGGAUGAGCUGGAGGCAGGUCUGUCUGAGAGGAGCUGCGGGGUCCCUGCACCCACUGCUCUGCCCCGGCUUGGCCAUCCUGCUCUGCCGGUCCCUGGUGUCCCUGUGAGGAGGUGGCUGUCACUUCCAAUGAACCCUGCUCUGCUCCCUGGGCCAUUGCAGUGUCUUCUGCAGCUUCAAGGCGUGGUGUGCUGUGCUUCACCAUCAGCUCAUUCCAGUGAAUCAGGAAUGGCUGGCUGGAAGCAGCUCAGAGGUGCCAGGCAAGGGCAGACUAAUGCCAGGAUAAAACCCAAGGCAGUUCUACAUUUACGUGGGUCUCCAAGUUCUCCUCUGUACUGUCUGUAA
rnacentral:lncRNA from 1 species